GUUCUCGAGAUUAUUCACAGCUCAGAUAAGGAGGAAGUUCCUGUAGAUACUUGAUCUGAAUGCAAUGUUCCUCCUCCCCCAGGAAGUGAGCCCACACAUGAUGCAGGCAUAGGAAAUGCGGUCACUUGGGUACCCAGGGGAGGGAGGGACUGCAGCUCAUCCCUCUGCUCUGAUCAUGGACCACCUUCACAACUCAACAGAUGCAGCUCAAAAAUACCAGCUCAGGGCAAACAGCUGCAGGUACCUGGACCCUGAGCUCACAAAUGAGAGGGACAUCAUGUGCAGACACCCUGCUGAGAAGCUUCUUUGGCUGAAGAAACAAAACCCUCUUCAGAGUGCAGCAUUCUGCCCCUCUGCCAUUGCUGUUGCAGUGCAGAUGUCUGGAAGUUCACGCCGCUGGUGGACGUUUGCAGAGUGAAUCACGGGGCACCACUUUCCAUUUUGACAAAAACAACUGCUGCUCAGUCAACAAGAUGCUGCUGAUCAAAUGUGUGGAUGGAACUGCUGCAACUGCUGCCAAAAGGCUCCACCAGCACAAGCAAGCUGUGUGAGCUGGCUUGGACAACUGGGAUUUAUUUUUCCUUCGCUGUUCUCAAGAGACUACUCACAUUUUUGUGUUCCUACUCAACACCUGAGGAGCUCAGCCUGUGGCUACCAGCUUUGACCUGCAAGUGGAGAAAAUGCUUGUUGCUGGAAGAGGCUACAAUAAUUAAACUGGAGUGAAAAAAGGCAGAUAAUGCUUUAUGGAACAUAGAGUGCUAUAGGAGACAAGAAAAACAGCUUCCUCUGGUGCAUAUUGCCAAAAUUUCAGAAGACCAGACAACAACUUGAGAAUUUCCAAGGGAACAGCCACUGAGUCAGUCAAAAAUAGAAUUAGGAAACUGCCUGUUUCAAAAGUAGUCUGUAAGAUGUGCCAGCAUUUUUCAGUAUUUCUGUCAUUUCCGAGUAGAACACUCAAGAGUUAACAAAUAUUUAUCUACCCCUCCCAAAAAAAAAAAAAAAAAAAGCCAAUCCACAGAGAAAGGCAAAAUGAGGAAGGAAAUCUAUGUAGCAAAGAAAUACUCAUCACACUUCAUGUACUUAAAAUAAAAAUCACUGAUCACUUUUGCACACAUUUACGCAAAGUUUAUUAUUCUUUGCAAUUUUCAAAUGUCUCUACUUCCUUAGGCAUCAUCAACAACCAAGAAAAGCUUUCCUGCAGUCACCCUAUUAUUCAAAAUGUGGGUAAAUCUAAACAUGCAAAAAAGGCAAUACUAAGCACUCUUCCCCAAAAGAGGACAAUAAGACUUAGACUGUUCCUUUUGUUCUUUUUUACUAACUGAUUUUUUAAAAUUUUAUUUCAAUAAUUAAAAGCAAGACUUAAGGGAAAGGGGGUAACUUUCUAUUUCAUUAUUCCUUGCUGUUUUCUGCUAUAUAGGUUAUAAUGUGGCACUCAUUAACAAUUCAUAGAGAAUUACCAUAUUCAAGUAGCACAGCAAGUUUUUACUGCCUACACCCGGGCAAAAUCCUGCACAACCCUACUUGCUCCCUUUACUUGUCUCAGAGGGAUCUCAUGCUGGAAAAGCUGGCAUUUUAUCACCUAACGGGAGAGAAAUUCCAACAGGUUAGAAACUCCAAGGAGCCCGGAACAGAAAAACAUUCCAUUAAAACACUGACAAUGCAGAGCUGCAGAGCAAAAUGAAGUACUGGAGAAGACACGUGCUGGAGGCUGCCUUGGAAUUAAAAACCCCGAUGGGAUUCUGGAGCAAUGUCCCACUGCUUUGAACUUCUCGGUGCGUUUCAGAGGGAUGCAAAUGACAGACCUGAGGCAUCGGCUUUGUUUCCGAGGGAUUCGUGCUGGAAGUGCCGACAGCCGGAACGGGAGCGGAGCUGUGGGAUCAUCACGGGGAACGCAGCAGGAACCAAACCAGGACAAAUCCACAGAGGGAGCUCCGGAAGCACGAGGACUUCAAGUCCCAGGAGAGGAACAAGGCCUUUAAUGCAGAUUAGGAUUGCAGAAAAAAGGCUCUUGGCAAUAUUUGAUUCCCCACACAGCAAUGCCUUGGAGUUCCUAUCUCGUGUUUCCUCUUGGCAUCUUUUACAGACACUCGAUCAGAUUCACUUGAUCAUUGCAGUAGUUUACUAACUCAUCUAUUAUCAUUACUAUCUACAUGUCAGGAAAUAAAAGCACCUAAAUUACUGAAUAAAUAUCACAAAUUA